UACGUAGGGUGCGAGCGUUAAUCGGAAUUACUGGGCGUAAAGGGUUCGUAGGUGGCCCGCUAAGUCAGACGUGAAAUCCCUCAGCUCAACUGGGGAACUGCGUCUGAGACUGGCGGGCUUGAGUGCAGGAGAGGAACGCGGAAUUCCAGGUGUAGCGGUGAAAUGCGUAGAUAUCUGGAGGAACACCGGUGGCGAAGGCGGCGUUCUGGACUGUUACUGACACUGAGGAACGAAAGCCAGGGGAGCAAACGGG
rnacentral:rRNA from 1 species